rnacentral:rRNA from 1 species
GGAAUCUUAGACAAUGGGGGCAACCCUGAUCUAGCCAUGCCGCGUGAGUGAUGAAGGCCUUAGGGUUGUAAAGCUCUUUCAGCUGGGAAGAUAAUGACGGUACCAGCAGAAGAAGCCCCGGCUAACUCCGUGCCAGCAGCCGCGGUAAUACGGAGGGGGCUAGCGUUGUUCGGAAUUACUGGGCGUAAAGCGCACGUAGGCGGACUGGAAAGUCAGAGGUGAAAUCCCAGGGCUCAACCUUGGAACUGCCUUUGAAACUAUCAGUCUGGAGUUCGGGAGAGGUGAGUGGAAUUCCGAGUGUAGAGGUGAAAUUCGUAGAUAUUCGGAGGAACACCAGUGGCGAAGGCGGCUCACUGGCUCGAUACUGACGCUGAGGUGCGAAAGCGUGGGGAGCAAACAGGAUUAGAUACCCCGG